rnacentral:rRNA from 1 species
GACGGAGGAUGCAAGCGUUUAUCCGGAAUUAUUGGGCGUAAAGCGUCCGCAGGUGGCUGUUCAAGUCUGCUGUCAAAGCGCAGAGCUUAACUCUGUACAGGCGGUGGAAACUGAAGAGCUAGAGUAUGGUAGGGGUAGAGGGAAUUCCCGGUGUAGCGGUGAAAUGCGUAGAUAUCGGGAAGAACACCAGUGGCGAAAGCGCUCUACUGGGCCAUAACUGACACUGAGGGACGAAAAGCUAGGGGGAGCGAAAGGG